UUAUAGAACAAUUGUAUGAGAUAGAACGUAUUCUUAAUAGUUAUAAGUUGUAUAACGUAUAUAUGGAUGAAAUUAUAAUUGUAUCCUCUAUUAUUGAUAAAUUUCUUCCAUCAUGAAAAGAUUUUAAAAAAAAUAUGAAGCAUAAAUAAAAAAAAUAUCUCUUUUGAAGAUUUGGCUAACUGUCUCUAUAUUAAGGGGAACGUCACAAACAACAUGC
rnacentral:lncRNA from 1 species